rfam:Ovis aries breed Texel chromosome 16, whole genome shotgun sequence.
UCCCUGGUGGCUCAGACGGUAAAGAAUCUGCCUGCAAUGCAGGAGACCUAGGUUCAAUCCCUGGAUUGAGAA